UCUCCGUUGGUGAACCAGCGGAGGGAUCAUUACAGAGUUGCAAAACUCCCAAACCAUUGUGAACCUUACCUUUACCGUUGCUUCGGCGGGCGGGCCGUCUCGGCCCCGCCCCGGCCCCCCUCGCGGGGGCGCCCGCCGGAGGUACCUAACUCUAUGUCAAUCAUGGCCUCUCUGAGUCUUCUGUACUGAAUAAGUCAAAACUUUCAACAACGGAUCUCUUGGUUCUG
rnacentral:misc_RNA from 1 species